rnacentral:rRNA from 1 species
GAAUCUUCGGCAAUGGGGGAAACCCUGACCGAGCAACGCCGCGUGAGUGAGGAAGGUCUUCGGAUCGUAAAGCUCUGUUGCCAGGGAAGAUACGCCUAGGGGAGGGAAUGCCCUUAGGGUGACGGUACCUGAGAAGAAAGCCCCGGCUAACUACGUGCCAGCAGCCGCGGUAAUACGUAGGGGGCAAGCGUUGUCCGGAAUUAUUGGGCGUAAAGCGCGCGCAGGCGGUCUUUUAAGUCUUGUGUUUAAUCCCGGGGCUCAACCUCGGUUCGCAUGGGAAACUGGAAGACUGGAGUGCAGGAGAGGAAAGUGGAAUUCCACGUGUAGCGGUGAAAUGCGUAGAGAUGUGGAGGAACACCAGUGGCGAAGGCGACUUUCUGGCCUGUAACUGACGCUGAGGCGCGAAAGCGUGGGGAGCAAACAG